GAUGAACGCUGGCGGCGUGCCUAAUACAUGCAAGUCGAGCGAACAGACGAGGAGCUUGCUCCUCUGACGUUAGCGGCGGACGGGUGAGUAACACGUGGAUAACCUACCUAUAAGACUGGGAUAACUUCGGGAAACCGGAGCUAAUACCGGAUAAUAUAUUGAACCGCAUGGUUCAAUAGUGAAAGACGGUUUUGCUGUCACUUAUAGAUGGAUCCGCGCCGCAUUAGCUAGUUGGUAAGGUAACGGCUUACCAAGGCGACGAUGCGUAGCCGACCUGAGAGGGUGAUCGGCCACACUGGAACUGAGACACGGUCCAGACUCCUACGGGAGGCAGCAGUAGGGAAUCUUCCGCAAUGGGCGAAAGCUUGACGGAGCAACGCCGCGUGAGUGAUGAAGGUCUUCGGAUCGUAAAACUCAGUUAUUAGGGAAGAACAAAUGUGUAAGUAACUAUGCACGUCUUGACGGUACCUAAUCAGAAAGCCACGGCUAACUACGU
rnacentral:rRNA from 1 species